rnacentral:rRNA from 1 species
GAGUUUGAUCGUGGCUCAGGAUGAACGCUGGCGGCGUGCUUAACACAUGCAAGUCGAGCGAAGCGCCUUGAAGUUUUCGGACAGAGAGGUGACUGAGCGGCGGACGGGUGAGUAACGCGUGGGUAACCUGCCUCAUACAGGGGGAUAACAGUUAGAAAUGGCUGCUAAUACCGCAUAAGCGCACAGUGCCGCAUGGUACGGUGUGAAAAACUCCGGUGGUAUGAGAUGGACCCCGCGUCUGAUUAGGUAGUUGGUGAGGUAACGGCCCACCAAG